rnacentral:ncRNA from 1 species
GGUUAAGCGACUAAGCGUACACGGUGGAUGCCCUGGCAGUCAGAGGCGAUGAAGGACGUGCUAAUCUGCGAAAAGCGUCGGUAAGGUGAUAUGAACCGUUAUAACCGGCGAUGUCCGAAUGGGGAAACCCAGUGCAAUUCGUUGCACUAUCGUUAACUGAAUACAUAGGUUAACGAGGCGAACCGGGGGAACUGAAACAUCUA